rnacentral:rRNA from 1 species
GACGAACGCUGGCGGCGUGCCUAAUACAUGCAAGUUGAGCGCUGAAGGUUGGUACUUGUACCAACUGGAUGAGCAGCGAACGGGUGAGUAACGCGUGGGGAAUCUGCCUUUGAGCGGGGGACAACAUUUGGAAACGAAUGCUAAUACCGCAUAAAAACUUUAAACACAAGUUUUAAGUUUGAAAGAUGCAAUUGCAUCACUCAAAGAUGAUCCCGCGUUGUAUUAGCUAGCGGGUGAGGUAAAGGCUAACCAAGGCGAUGAUACAUAGCAGACCUGGGAGGGUGAUCGGCAACAAUGGGACUGAGACACGGCCCAAACUCCUACGGGAGGCAGCAGUAGGGAAUCUUCGGCAAUGGACGAAAGUCUGACCGAGCAACACCGCGUGAGUGGAGAAGGUGUUAGGAUCGUAGAACUCUGUUGGUAGAGAAGAACGUUGGUGAGAGUGGAAUGCUCAUCAAGUGACGGUAACUACCCAGAAAGGGACGGCUAACUACGUG